rnacentral:rRNA from 1 species
UACGUAGGUGGCAAGCGUUAUCCGGAAUUAUUGGGCGUAAAGGGUGCGUAGGUGGCAUGUUAAGUCUGGUGUAAAAGGCAAUAGCUCAACUAUUGUAUGCAUUGGAAACUGGCAAGCUAGAGUGUGUGAGAGGUAAGUGGAAUUCCAAGUGUAGCGGUGGAAUGCGUAGAUAUUUGGAGGAACACCAGUGGCGAAGGCGGCUUACUGGCACACAACUGACACUGAGGCACGACAGCGUGGGGAGCAAAU